UGGGGAAUUUUGGACAAUGGGCGGAAGCCUGAUCCAGCAAUGCCGCGUGUGUGAAGAAGGCCUUCGGGUUGUAAAGCACUUUUGUCCGGAAAGAAAUCCUUGGCUCUAAUACAGUCGGGGGAUGACGGUACCGGAAGAAUAAGCACCGGCUAACUACGUGCCAGCAGCCGCGGUAAUACGUAGGGUGCAAGCGUUAAUCGGAAUUACUGGGCGUAAAGCGUGCGCAGGCGGUUUGCUAAGACAGAUGUGAAAUCCCCGGGCUUAACCUGGGAACUGCAUUUGUGACUGGCGGGCUAGAGUAUGGCAGAGGGGGGUAGAAUUCCACGUGUAGCAGUGAAAUGCGUAGAGAUGUGGAGGAAUACCGAUGGCGAAGGCAGCCCCCUGGGCCAAUACUGACGCUCAUGCACGAAAAGGCGUGGGGGAGCAAACAGGAUUAGAUACCCUGGUAGUCCACGCCCUAAACGAUGUCAACUAGUUGUCGGG
rnacentral:rRNA from 1 species